CACAUGUCGCCUGAAACUUGCUUUGACCUAAGUACAUUUGCAUCAAGGUGAGCAAAGUUUCAGGCGUGUAAGUGA
rfam:Acyrthosiphon pisum strain LSR1 Contig38464, whole genome shotgun sequence.